CUAGCAAUACUGGUGAAUCCGACUCAUCCGCUCGUCAGGCAGCAGAUCUGUCCGGCGUUAGAGCGCGCUCGCAACAUCAUAAAACAUCACGGACACUUCUGCAUCGAGCUAAACUUCAACAUCAUGGUCGCCACCUGGUGGAGUAAACGGAUUGCGCAGACGCACGUCAACCUCGCGCGGGAAUCGAAGAUGAGUCAUGACGCACGCAUCUACGUCACCAACUUCCGGAAACCGGCCUAUUUGUACCGGAUGCGCAUGCGCGCGGGUUCGAUCGUGUUCUGGCUGCUGUGUGGAUGCGGUCUCGGAUGGAUGCUCACCGCUCCGUGUUACCACGCCGUCAGGAAGGCAACGUGCCAGGACAUUGUAGUCUGCAUUCACGUCCACAACUAUGAUGAGGACAUCAUUGAACAAACGAUACGCGACCAUCUACUUGGGAACGGCUACGAUGCGGCCCGUAACUCACGGCGCUACGAGACGGCUAUCCCGGUGAGAACGAGCCAGGUGGUGUUACGUAUCCCGCCUCCGCCGAGCUACGUCGACGCUACGGCAGCUGCCGCCAAGCAGACGACAUCGGCAGAGGAAGAAGCAGGGCGCGCAUGCGCAGUACACGCCAAUGAGGAAGUCAGCACGAUAACGGCACUAUAGCUGUA